rnacentral:rRNA from 1 species
UCCAAAGCCACAUCAACCUGUGGUUUCCCACUGAAGCUAAGCAGGGUUGAGCCUGGCCUGUUCCUGCAUGGGAGACCUCCUGGGGAAAGCUUAGGUUGCUGCUGGAA